rnacentral:rRNA from 1 species
CACUAGCGUAUAUUAAAGUUGUUGCAGUUAAAAAGCUCGUAGUUGAAUUUCUACGUAGGGAUAGUUUUGACUUAGGUCUGGCUAUUUCUACGUAUCCGCCUAUGAUAUCCAGCUGGUCUUUACUGGUCACUGGAAGUAAUAGGCUUUUUACUUUGAAAAAAUUAGAGUGUUUAAGGCAGGCAAUCGCCUGAAUAUAUUAGCAUGGAAUAAUAGAAUAGGACACUUUUCCAUUUUGUUGGUUAUUGGAAUCGUGUAAUGAUUAAUAGGGACAGUUGUGGGCAUUUGUAUUUAAUUGUCAGAGGUGAAAUUCUUGGAUUUAUUAAAGACAAACUAACGCGAAAGCAUUUGCCAAGGAUGUUUNCAUUAA